rnacentral:rRNA from 1 species
UACGAAGGGGGCUAGCGUUGCUCGGAAUCACUGGGCGUAAAGCGCACGUAGGCGGACUUUUAAGUCAGGGGUGAAAUCCUGGAGCUCAACUCCAGAACUGCCUUUGAUACUGGAAGUCUUGAGUUCGAGAGAGGUGAGUGGAACUGCGAGUGUAGAGGUGAAAUUCGUAGAUAUUCGCAAGAACACCAGUGGCGAAGGCGGCUCACUGGUCCAAAACUGACGCUGAGGGGCGAAAGCGUGGGGAGCAAACAGGAU